GCCCAGCCGUUAGUGAGAGUUUGAGGACUGUUUUGUCUCUUCUCAAUAGAUCUCUGACGGAGUGGCAGCCAGUGGAAAAUUAGGGAGUGGACCAGGGCACAAGGAGAAAAGUCUUGGCAAAGAGCUCCUUGCAAAGAAGCAGAAUUGAGGCCUGAACCCCAAAAGCUUACGCACCAUUUCAUACUGCCAUCCAGAAACUGGGUGUGGAACAAUUUCAGCUUGCUCCUUGUAGACACGUCGUACGUGUGUCUGUCUCCAGGUCAGGACUAGGUACCACAAAUUCUGCGUCUUAGAGUUGGAGCAUGAGAUAAAGAAGGAUGGCCAGUAUUUUGUGGCUGAAAAGAAUAAAUACAUCCCUACUGCAAACAGCAUUUGUUGGAGAUUAUCUCCAUGAAGACCUUUCUUGGACUAAAUUGAGCACAGAACACUUUACUCUAUUAGUUGUUCUGACUGCACAUCUAUUAUUUCUUCAUUAUAAAUACUACUAAUGUGGAAACACACAGCAAGAAAGGAACUACAGAUUGACAUAGCACACUGGGACAUACUAGAGGAGUACAGAUUGUGAGAUUUGGUCUGAAUGCAAUUGAAGAAAUCCAGUACUGCAAAUGGUCAGAAGAAGGCUGGAGAGAAAACACCAAUCUCGAACAGUCUACUCAGUGCUAUACCAGAAAGCUUGGGAAAUUUAAAGCAGUUGAGAACCAUUGACAACACAUAACUCCAUAAGUACUGCAAAACCUAUACAAGAACCUGAGAGAAUACUGAGGAGGUUAGCGCAGCUUGAACUCUGCUCUGCUUCGCUGCCCAGCAAAAUUGCCAACCAGUUAAUGCAAGCAACACAAGCAUGUCAAUGUGAAGAGUAGUUACAGCUAUAAUUGUACCUUAUACAAACUAAAAAGUGUAUUUAUGUGUUCAGAUGAAUGGGCUUACAUAUGACUAUGUCCUUACUUUACUAGACUUUCCCAAAUGUCAGAAAUUCCAUUUAAAGAAAGUACCAAAUAACAAAAAUGUGAUAUGCCUUUGUACACAUAAAUACCUUUAAAAAAAAACACAACAAAAGAAACGUCUGUAAGUUAAUCAUUCAUUCUUGCUGCACUUCAAUUCAGACUCUCAGAAAAUACCUGUGAGUGCCCACAGAUUUGUUCUCUUUUUGGGACUUAGCUCCAGAGGGCCCAAACGUAGGAGAAGCAGAUUCAGCCCUGACAUACAAAGCAAGGCUAUAUCCAUUCAUCGUUCUCUCAAGCAUCCAGCUGAGAAAACCUCACAACUAUGGCAAACAACUUUAAGCUCCUUAGCCUUCAGUCAUAUAAGUCUUAACCAUAUAACAAAAACAAAGAAAAAUCUCAUUCAUUCAGUAUUUAAAAUCCAGUCAGUGACAGAAAACAAAGUUCACCUCUCAUAUCCACAGACCAAGAGGUAUGUUCCAAGGAAGUCAUUUUGCCAAUGAGCCUGUUCAUAUACACUGUGAUCUCCUAGACACUCACACUCCAGACUCGUUCAGCAGAGUAAACUUGGCUGCAUGCCGAUGUAGAAAGAAAAUUUAAGAAUCAAUUCAAAGGCUGAACAAUUUUCAGUAUCUCUCUUGCAAUAAGCAUUAAUAUGUGGAUUUCUUCCGUGAAUACUAAGUUGUAUUUCAAACUGAUUUUCGAAGAGGUCAAGGUUCUUUUAACCUCUUUUCUUACCCAUCCUUGUGAUAUAAUUAAUCAAUAUAAUGGCGUUAUUACAUGGCCAGAGAGGAAAAAAUUCAAACUACAAAGAAGUAAAUAUUAAUUUAGAUAUAUAAUGAAGAAUGUAAGCAUUAACUUACAUUAAAUGUGGAGAUCAGUGAUGAGUGGUACCCCUUAGGGGUGACUACUAUGGCCAGCGCUCUUUAAUAUCAUUAUCAAUGACAUCAUCAGUGGGGUGAAGUGCACAAAAAAAUCAUGGCCAGUAUGUCAAGGGAAGUGCUCCUGUCCUCUGCUUUGCGCUGGUGAGACCUCACCUGGACUACUGUGGCCAGUUGUGUUGUCCUCAGGAGACACAUGGAUCUGCUGGAGGGCAUCCAGACGAAGGCCACAAAAAUGAUCCAAGGGAUGGAACACCUUUACAAGGACAGACUGAAAGAGCUGGGGCUAUUCAGCAUGGAGAAGAGAAAGCUCUGGGGAGACCUCAUAAUGGCCUUUCAUUAUAUAAGUGAGGGUUAUGAGGAAGAAGGGAAUAGACUCUUUAGCAGGGACUGUUGCGAUAGGACAAAGAUAAAUGGUUUCAAACUAGAGCAGGGGAGUUUUAGACUGGAUAUAAGGAAAAGAUUUUUCAUGGUGAGGGUAAUGAGGCACUGGCAAAGUUUGCCCAGAGAGAUGAUGGAUGCCCCAUGCCUGCAGACACACAAGGUCAGGCUGGAUGGGGCUCCAAGCACCUGAUGGAGCUGUAGUGGUCUCUGUUUAUUGCAGGGGAGUUGGACUAGACGAAAUUUAAAGAUCCCUUAAAACUCAAAUGAUUCUAUGAUUCUAUACAAUGAAAGCAACUAGAAACCACUUCACAGGGGCUAGAAGGAGUCUUCCAGUGAUGGGAAAGUAGAAGUAGGGAAAUGCCACUCUCUGAAAUCUACCACUUUGUACAGGUCUCAGAAUAUGAAGGUAAUACUAUAUGUGACACCAAUAGAACAAAUAUAUUUGAAUUAGAGCUAGAAAGAUGCUUGCCUGUGAAUAGCAAAUGUUCUUCUUGUAAAUGAGAAUAAACUAAAUCACUUUUUUGCCUGCCAAAUACUUACACUGAAAAGUCCCAAUCAGCUCAUGCUUUCAUGUUUCUACUCCUAGUUUUGCUAGACAAGGAAGGUUUAGAUUACCUUCUGGGCACACAGAAAUAUUAAAAUCAAGUAACAUUUAAAGUUAUCUGAAUCUUAAUCUCUCCAUCCUCAAGCUAAGUGAAAAUGCAGAAUUUAUCUCAGUCCACCCAGACCAAUCUUAUCCAGAAAGAUUCCAAUCCAGGACAGUGAUUGAGGGUUGAUAGAAAAGAAUAACUCUGUAAUGGUGACAGCAGAAAACUUCAAAAAUAUUUCGUCUACUUAAGGCACAAAUGUAGAUGCAGGCAACGUACCAGCACAAAGUUUCAAAAAAGUGAUUUAAGUUGUGGCAAAACUUGG